rnacentral:rRNA from 1 species
GACGAACGCUGGCGGCGUGCUUAACACAUGCAAGUCGAACGGAAAGGCCCUGCUUUUGUUGGGUUCUCGAGUGGCGAACGGGUGAGUAACACGUGAGUAACCUGCCCUUGACUUUGUGAUAACUUCAGGAAACUGGGGCUCAUACCGGAUAGGAUCUCCUGCUGCAUGUGGGGGGUUGGUAAGUUUCGGCGGUUGUGGAUGGACUCGCAGCUUAUGAGCUUGUUUGUGGGGUAGGGGCUUUCCAAGGCUUUGACGGGUAGCCGGCAUGAGAGGGUGAACGGCGACCAUGGGACUGCGAGAGGGCCCAGACUCGUACGGGAGGCAGCAGGGGGGAAUCUUGCAGAAUGGGCGGAAGCCUGAGAUAGAGACGCCGGGUGCGGAAUGACGGGCUUCGGGUUGUAAACCGAUGUGGAAUGUGCCGAAGCGUGCGUGACGGUAAUGGGUAAAGAAGCAACGGCUAACUACGUG